rnacentral:misc_RNA from 1 species
GUGCUCUCUCUCUUCUGUCAUCUAGGUCUGAUUCUUGGAUUACUUCAUCCGAUCUCUCUUCAAGAUCCAGCGCUGCAUUGCGUGAACUGAUUGCAGAAAACCGUGCUGCCAUCUUGGCUAGACAGCUCGUCCAUGAACGGCACCUGCAACAUAAUGCAAUGGAAGACUUAGGUGAUCAUUCCGAACCUAGCCCCAAUAAUUCUUUCAUCCCUCACCAUCAUCAAGUUUUAGCUGAGGCACACAAUUGGGACCGUUUCCAUGACACUGGCACACAACUCACUUUGGACCUCAUGCAGGCUCCAACUUCAGCAUUCGGUUUCUUGUCUACGAGAGGGAAAAACAAUAAGGAAGAGGAAGAAGAAUGUUCCGAGUUAUGGAACACCUGGGCAGGAGCCCAUGUAGUUUAAUGUUUUUAACAUGCACUUUCUUUCAUGGGUCGUCAGUCGUCUUUUAGUGAGUUCUUAAAUUAGCUACACUUGACAUAUAAUUUACUUAUUUCAUCGCUUGGUUGUGAGUAACAAUUUUUUUAAUCUAAUUUGUCUCUAUUUUUUUUGUACUCUUAAGUAUGACAAUCUGGUUUCGAUUUUGUAGAAUUUCAUUUGUUAAUGGAAGUGGAAGAAUUUAGGUCCGGGAGCAAACAUCAAAGCUAGUUUAAGAUUGCUUCAAAAGGAAAGAAGGAAAGAAAGCAAACAUUCUAUCUUAUAUGUUUAUAUAUUGGGUCAAUGGUAGAACAGGUUUAAAUAAAAAUUUUUUAUUUUUUAUAGAUUUUUUUUGUCUAAAUCGAGUUUACAUGGAUUCAAGAUACAAAAUGUAUAGUGAGAUCUAUGGC